rnacentral:rRNA from 1 species
UACGGGGGGGGCAAGCGUUGUUCGGAAUUACUGGGCGUAAAGGGCUCGUAGGCGGCCAACUAAGUCAAACGUGAAAUCCCUCGGCUUAACCGGGGAACUGCGUCUGAUACUGGAUGGCUUGAGUUUGGGAGAGGGAUGCGGAAUUCCAGGUGUAGCGGUGGAAUGCGUAGAGAUCCGGAAGAACACCGGUGGCGAAGGCGGCCUGCUGGGCAGUUGCUGGACACUGAGGCGCGACAGCGUGGGGAGCAAACAGG